AUGACCUCUGACCUCAAAUCAGGUAGGACUACCCGCUGAACUUAACAUCA
rnacentral:rRNA from 1 species